AAGAAUGGAAAAUGAAGUUUGAUGGCAAGUUCAAAAUUACAAUGGAUUUAAAAAGAAUGAAAUGAUUGAAUUAACAUUAAGGACUCGAGUAUCUCUCUGCACUACAAGUAAUUGGAAUUCAGAGUUAUGCAGCCGAAGCCCUUCAUUGGCCUGGACUCAGCAAAGUUGCUGGGUGACUUUGCAGAAGAGAAACAGACAGAAACAUCCCCCCGAUUUAGAGAAAAAUCAAAGGGAAAAGAGCUACAUAGGGACUUAUAGAGAGAGAGGUUUUUUUUUUAAUAUAUAUUUUUCACUUUUUUGUAUAUUUCUAGCAGCAAUAACGUUUAUAAAUAGCAAAACUAAUUAGAGUGGUUGAGUUUCCAGACCUGCAGAAAAAAACUUGUAAGGAAUGUCUGAUAAGGAACAUUAAGUAAGAUGAGGAAUAAGAAAGGUUGAAGAGCUUCAAAUCAAUUGGAAUUUAAAGUUUAAAGUCCUGGGCUUUGGAACUCCAAAUGAUCCUUAAAGAAAUUGUGGUAUCCCUUUAAGAGCCAUUUGGUGCAAUUCAUAGCCUGAUUCAUGUCACCAGCUGCCUCUGAUUUCAGUGAGAAAUGCAGAAAUUUAUAGGGAACUGUAAAAUGGGGACAGGUUUUGAGUUUUCUAAAUUGGGGUUUCACAGGAAAACUUCUGAAACCACAGAGCUGGGCUGUGGGAAGCCGGUUUCUUUUCCGGUCAGAACAAAUAAACACACAAAUACAUAUCUAACUCUCAAAGUGUUGGGAGAGAGGACUCAAUGGUCUUUGCAGAAGAGGAAAAGGAAAAAUCAGCCUUGUGGGCAACGGGAGGAGGUCACAUUGACCAGUAGGCAGCACCCUGCGCUGGCAGAGGGAGAAAUUCGAGCUUCAGCUGUGCCCGCCAGAGCAGGCUUUGCACAAACUCCAGCUUCCUAGGGGCAUGUCUCCCGUGCAUCCAGCCUCCCCUUCAGUGGAAGAGAACCUCCACCCCGGCCACCCACAGGACAUGCAGGACAUCAGCAAAAGAACAUGAAUUACACAGAAAGAGCCAACUAAGAAGGCAACGCUAGCAUCGACCCUAGGAAGAAAACAUGUUGCAAAUGCCAAAGCCUCGGACUAUCUGCAAACGACUACAGGUUUUCCUGUGAGCCGAACCCCUAGCAGACAGCAUGUGGGAGCACCAAGUUCUGCAGUUAGUUACUUGUCUCUCCCCACUUAAAAGCAACUCGGUGCCAUUUACCAACUCAGAGUAUGCAGAGGUCCAGUCCAGCCUAGGAAGGACCCCUCAGUGCCAGGAGGCCAGGAGCCCCAGAGGUAUAGCAAGACCUGGGCCCAUGUAUGUGUCUGUGUCGAUGGUUUGUGGAGAAAUGUAACACUGGAUCAGAGCUGAGCUGAAUAAUAAGAAACACCUUCUCUAUAGUAUUGGUCCCCUCACACUGAUAAGUCCAUCUAUAAGAACUUCCUCCACAAUAUAUCAACCAACAUUGAGGACGGAGAGGCAGGUUUGGGUGUGAAACACAGGUUUUAUUGAGCAUCCUUUCUGUGUUAGAGCAUCUUCUCUGUGUUCCUUAAAUUACUUUUCACAAACUUGUGAGGGUCCUACUAUUACAUAUUUCUUUCUUUUUCCUUUCUUUCUUUUCUUUUUUUGUUUUAACAAAUGAGGAAACAGGCUCAGAGAUUAUCUAAUUUGCCAAGUUUACCUAGCAAUAUAUUUAUUACUCCCCACCACUACUACACAGAUUGUCUUCAGUUAUUUUUAUAUUUUAAAAAAGGUGGAUAGUAAUAUUAUUCCCAUUUUCCAUAUGAGAUAACUGCCCAGAGAGGCUAAGUAACUUGCCCAGAGUCACACAGAUAGUGUUUGAGGAAGAAUUUGAGCUCUUGUGCAUUGUAUAUCAUUGCUUCUUACUAAUAUAUUAUAAUGCAUGAGGAAUUUCAAACACACAGCACACAUACACACAGCAUUCACCGAGAACCCCAAUUUGAUUCAUUUUGAGAAGAGCAUUAGACUCAGAGACAGAACUCAGCUAUAAUCUUUUCUUUUUACCCAAGCUGAUUACAUACUUUGGUCAUAAUAAUUUAAUAUCUCUGAUCUUAUUUUUGCAUUUGCAAAAUGGAGGUUGCCAUGAGGCUUAAGAUGAGAUUAUGCCUGUGAAAGGGCUAUCUUAGUUGUCCAGAGGGCUACCUGCUACUCAAACCCAGGAGGCAAAUGCGUGCACUCUCUCUCUAAGACACCAUUCCUCUGGCACAUUUUGGGGACGGAUGACUUGAGCUCUCACUGUAAGUCAUGUCCCAUUUUCGCUCCAAUCUCAUUCCACUCGGGAAUGUCGGUCUUGCCAAGCCUGGCGUUAUCAGGAGACUGUGGUCAAGAACACAGGUACAAGUAUAUCAGAUGAGAACAUAUGUUUGAACUCAGGCACAGUUUUCACAAAAUGUUGCUUUCUGUUGCAGGCAGGGUAAGAGAAAUCGCCUUUAAAAUUCCCAUUAAAAAAGACUCUCAGGCUCCUCAGACAUCAAAUAACUCUCACAAGACAACAUUUUAAUGAUUUAAGUGUAAAUGAAUCAGAAACACAUGGACUGCAUUUCUUUUGGAAUACACAAAGGUUUUAAAACCAAAGGAGAAAGAACUUGGCAAAAUGCACACAGUGCUGCGCAGAGGGCCCUGCCCAGGAAAGACUCCCUGGAUUCAUGCUGCCUCUGAGCUCGCCCUCCCCGAUUUUAGGGGACACACUGGGAAAUGCAAUCAUCUGUUCUGGUUCUGGGCACAGAGGGAAGAGCUUGGAAGAGAAAGUCACCGUUCCCUCUUGUUCUCAAGUGUCAUAGAACAAUUAGGCCUCCCAGAAUAAUUUCCUGGCAGUGUUUUUCCAAGGCUGCCAGUGUUCAAUGGCAGGCAUUUGAAAUAUGUUUGAAGCCAAAGUUCUGCCAAUAUACAGCAGAUCUGAUAUGUGUGCUUCCCUGGGAUUUAGCCAAGACUCAGAGGAAAUCUGCAUGAGAACUGUAACUGGCUCAGUGAGGGAUCUCGGGAGAACCAGCGCAGAUCCACAUUGAGUCAGACGGCAUUUGCGACAGUGUCCGGUGCUUUUGAUGUGAACUCCUGGAUGUCAUUAUCAGAUUGUGGGUGGGGCAGGGGAGGUAUGUAAGGGACCGGGACUAGGAGAAGUGGACUCAGUGUCUGUGAGCUGUGUGUGACCUUAGGAGAGUCAUUUUCUUUCUUGGGGGAGGACAUCAGUUUGCUCAGCCAUCAAAUCCAUGCAUUGGACUCGGCUGAACUUACGGAGCACACUAAUGUGAACUUGAAGGUCGUGCAAGUGUGAAGGAGGCUCAGUGGAUCGUGAGACCACUGAAGAGUCAAGGUAACUUGAGUACCUUGUAUCUUGAGUACUCAAGGUAUCUAGAGUAGUCUUCGUCAUCUUGGCACUUGCUUUUUCUGUGGUCACCAUUCGUUACUCAGAAUUCCUUCAUAGAUAUUCAGGGGAGGGGGGAGAAAUAGCCCUUAAAGGGUUUCAAUGAGUUUUUUUUUUUUUAAGUUUGACAAAAAUGGUUUAAAAAUGAAUAUGAGGAACUAAUAGUUUAUUUAGAAUCAUACAAGUGUAUGGUGUUGGAGGUGGCCUGGCUGCUCUUGGGUUACGGUCAGAGGGGGGUUUCAGAGAGCUUACCCCUGUGGAAUACUGCUGCAGCAUUCCCACCACUGGAGGAUUUUGGUUUACAUGUUCUACCAAAGUAUUUAUUUUGUGUAACUCCUGAGUGCAAGUUUCUGGAAUUCCAUGAAUGUGUCCGACAAUGCAAAGAAUUUGGGUGAUAGGUUUUUUGGAAAAGCCCGAGAUCCAGGGCUCCCUAUAGAACAAGCUAAGUAACUGAUAAAUAGAUCCAAAGACCGUAGCUAGAGUUAAACUUUGGGUGGUUCAACAUAUUGACUAACUGUGUUGAAAGUAAUUUAAAAAAUGCCAAUCCUGGAGCUACGUCCCAGGAGAUUUAAAUUCAAUGAAUCUUUGUAGGGCAUCUGAAUCUGCAAUUUUAGAAUCUCCCCUGGUGUGAUUUUGCCAUUUUUGGUAAUGUAACAUAAUGGUACAUCUUAUAAUUGAUGGUGUCUUAGAUUUGAUGAGAUAAUACCUAGUAAUACCACACUCUUUCAUGUAUGUUUUUGCAUGUAAUAGUCACAUCUUUUUACAGAUGAAGACCACAUUGUUCAGAGAAAAUGAGUGUGUCUGUAAAGGAAUGAUCAUUGUCUAGAGUUCAGGCUCCUGAUCCCAAAUCCAAGGUUUUUUCCCCUCAUCUGCAGACUUCUGGUACUUCCUGUGGAAUUUAAAUAUUCAUGAGUCAUGCUGUCAUGGGAUUACACAAUUUUUCAGAGAAGGAAAAAAAAAUAGCUUACAUUUAAAAGAUGAACUCUUAGGCUCUGAUAGGGGCUAAUUAAGCCCCCCUUGAACUCAUAUGUUGACAUCGAAACCCCAGUACCUCGGACCAUGACUUUGGUGGCUUAUAAAGAGGUGAUUAAUUACAAUGGGGUCUAUGGAGUAGGCUCCAGUCCAACAUGACUAGUGUCUUCUGAAGGGAUGAAGACACAGUUAUGCAGGGGAAGACCACAGGAAGAAGACAGCAUUCUUCACACCCAGGACAAAAGUCUCAGAAGAAACCAAACCUGCAGGACUUGAUCCUGGACUUCAAGCCUCCAGAAUUCUGCAAGAAUAUAUUCAUAUAUAUUAAUUAACUCGUGAUUGCACUAAUUAAUAUGAUGAGUAAUUAAUAAUUAUUAGUACAUCAACAUACCAUUCACACCUCACUAAUUUUCUCACCUAAAUCCAUCCUGUACCCAUUAGGGUCCUGUCUACUCCCUGUGUCUCCCCUCCCUGGAAGUUCUCCAGGAAUUAGGGUCACAUGGAACAAGCAGACUCAACCACGGGCCAGGAGCCAGGAGCCACAAAAAGCAAACAAUCAGCUGGGAGUUCCACCAUUUUGGGGGACAGCUCUCAGAUCUGGGAGGAGUUAGGACCCUGGCUUCCCUAACUCCCUACAGCUAUUUCCUGAACAUUACUUUCCCACCCUCCUUCCAAAUUCUCCUGCUCUUUUUCCACUCUGGCUGUUCCACACCCUUCUCACCUCUGUCAUUACUUCACUCUUUCCAGAAGAACUUAGGUUUGUGGCACUGUUGUUCACUCUCCUUCCCAAUUCCAACCAAAAAACCCUGGGGACACUAGAGUCUCCAGUUCCAUCUCCAUCUUUGAAGAAAUAUUUGUUUCAGUUUUUCAAGAAAUGAAAAAUAUGUCAUUAAGCCUCAGUCUGAAAGGAUCUACUAAUCCACAAUUGGGACAUGUAGUAGAAGAGUUAUAUCUAGGAGCAUUUACUAAUCUUUCAGUAUAUCAAGGAAAAAAUAUCUUAAAAAUUACUGGAGAACAAAAGUUAAAUUGUCUACAAAAGAAUGAAGAUCAGAUUAACAUCAGAUUUCUAAAUUGCCAUCCAGAAAUAAGGGGAAAAUAGAGGAUCGUUUAAUGUGCAAAAGACAUUUAAACUUAUAAUCGUACACAAGUCAAAAGAUACUAUGUACAGUUGAAGAUGGAACAAGGAUAUAUUCAGACUUUAAAAUUUACCAUUAAAGACCUUUUCAGAAAGAAUUACUGAAAAAUGUGCACCAAGAGGGACAAAAAUUGUUAGUGUUGACAAUACUGUGGAGAAAUGGUGUUAUGGUUUAGAAGACAUGAGGUAUCCCCCAAAAGUCUGUGUGUGAGACAUUGCAAGAAAGCUUAGAGGUAAAAUGAUUGGAUUAUGACAGCCUUAACCUAAUCAGCACAUCAAUCCCCUGAUAGAUAUCAAUUGGGUGGUAACUAUAGAAAGGCAGGUUGUGGCUGGAGGAGGCAAGUUGUUGGAGCAUGCCCGUGGAGGGGAACAGUCUCUUUCUGCUUCCUGGUGGCCAUGUCUGAGCCACUUUCCUCCACCACACUCUUCUGCUAUUAUAUUCUGCCUGAUUUCAGGUCCAGAGCAGUGGAAUUAGAAAUCUAUGAAAUGAAACCUCUGAAACCAUGAACCCCAAAUAAAUUUUUCUUCCUCUAAAAUUGUUCUUGGCAGGUCUUUUGAUCACAGUAGCAAAGAAGCUAACUAACACCAAUGGGUGUAUUCAUACAAUGCAUGUGAGUGUAUAAAGUGACAGUUUUCUAAAGGGUGAUAUGGUUCUAUUAGUGAAAUAAAAAUGUGCUUAUCUUAAAAAUCAGCAAUUUUACUUUAAAAACACCCUCACAAUAUAUAAACAUUUUUGUUGUAGUAUUAUUUGUCAAGGAGAAAACUGGGCCUCAACAAAGAGUGGCUAGUUAUAAAAUGUUGUAUUCAUACCAUGAAAUAUUAAACACUAAUUAGAAAGAACAAAAAUGAUCUAUAUGAAUCAAUAUGGAUUUGACUCCAACCCUUUUUGUUGGGUGAAAAGGGCAGGUUGAGUAAUGUACAUAUCUUAAGUCCACUACUAUUAUUGUGUUCCUGUCCAUUCACCCAUUUAGUUUUGUUAAUAUGUACUUUUUAUAUUUAGAUGCUCCAAUGUGGAGCAUAUAUAUAUAUAUAUAUAUAUAUAUAUAUAUCUUAUAUAUUCUUGAUCACUUUAACAUUAUACAGUGACCAUCUUUGUCUUUUGUGACCAAUUUUGACUGACAGUCUAUUUUUGUGAUAGAAGUGUACCCUCCCCUACUCUCUGUUUACCAUUACGUGUGAUAUCUUUCACUAUCUUUUCAUUUUCACCUUAUGUGUAUCCUUAAAGGUGACAUGAGUCUUUUAAUAGGCAGCAAAUUAUUUCAUAUUGUUUUCUACAAAAAAAUCUUGUCUUGUCAUUCUAUCUUUCCACUGUAGAAUUUUAUUUACAUUUAAUAAAAGUUUUGACGGUAA